rnacentral:miRNA from 14 species
AUGUUUUAAAUUUCAAAAAUGUAUCGCUUCUCGGCCUUUUGGCUAAGAUCAAGUGUAAAUUUCAAAAAUGUGAUGACAAAUCCCUUUUAUCAAAAGGGAAUUGAUGAAAGAUUAGAA